GUUUGCAAAAUUCUCAGAGGGAACAUGCAAAUAUGUGAUGUUUGCACACACAACACGAUUUAUUAAGGUCAAAAAGAAAUUUAGUGGAUGCUGAUAACAUCUGUAUUUUA